rnacentral:rRNA from 1 species
UACGGAGGGGGUUAGCGUUGUUCGGAAUUACUGGGCGUAAAGCGCGCGUAGGCGGAUUAGAAAGUUAGGGGUGAAAUCCCAGGGCUCAACCCUGGAACUGCCUCUAAAACUCCUAGUCUUGAGGUCGAGAGAGGUGAGUGGAAUUCCGAGUGUAGAGGUGAAAUUCGUAGAUAUUGGGAAGAACACCGGUGGCGAAGGCGGCUCACUGGCUCAUUACUGACGCUCAGGCGCGAUAGCGUGGGGAUCAAACAGG